rnacentral:rRNA from 1 species
AACGAACGCUGGCGGCAAGCCUAACACAUGCAAGUCGAACGAGACCUUCGGGUCUAGUGGCGCACGGGUGCGUAACGCGUGGGAACCUGCCCUUAGGUUCGGAAUAACUCCCCGAAAGGGGUGCUAAUACCGGAUAAUGUCUUCGGACCAAAGAUUUAUCGACUUUGGAUGGGCCCGCGUUGGAUUAGCUAGUUGGUAGGGUAAAAGCCUACCAAGGCGACGAUCCAUAGCUGGUCUGAGAGGAUGAGCAGCCACACUGGGACUGAGACACGGCCCAGACUACUACGGGAGGCAGCAGUGGGGAAUAUUGGAAAAUGGGCGAAAGCCUGAUCCAGCAAUGCCGCGUGAGUGAUGAAGGCCUUAGGGUUGUAAAGCUCUUUUACCCGGGAUGAUAAUGACAGUACCGGGAGAAUAAGCGCCGGCUAACUCCGUG